rnacentral:misc_RNA from 1 species
GAUGAAGAACGUAGCGAAAUGCGAUACGUAAUGUGAAUUGCAGAAUUCAGUGAAUCAUCGAAUCUUUGAACGCAUAUUGCGCUCUCUGGUAUUCAGGAGAGCAUGCUUGUUUGAGUAUCAGUAAACACCUCAACUCCCUUUUCUUUUUUGAAAUUGGAGCUGGACUUGAGUGAUCCCAACGCUUUCUUCCAAGAAAGUGGCGGGUUGCUUGAAAUGCAGGUGCAGCUGAACUUUUCUCUGAGCUAUAAGCAUAUCUAUUUAGUCUGCCUAAAAAACAGAUUAUUACCUUUGCUGCAGCUAACAUAAAGGAGACUAGUUCUUGUGCUGACUGAUGCAGGAUUCACAGAGACAGCUUCGGCUGACUUUGUAAACUCGAUCUCAAAUCAAGUAAGACUACCCGCUGAACUUAAGCAUAUCAAUAAGCGGAGGA